rnacentral:rRNA from 1 species
AUUGAACGCUGGCGGCAGGCCUAACACAUGCAAGUCGAACGAGUGGCGGACGGGAGAGUCAUGCAUGGGACUCUCGCUAAUGGGGGGGGAUAACUACGGGAAACUUUAGCUAAUACCGCGUAGCAUCGGAUGAGGACAAGUGGGAUUAGGUAGUUGGUGAGGUAAAGGCUCACCAAGACGACGAUAUCUAGCCGGUCUGAGAGGAGGACCAGCCACACUGGGACUGAGACACGGCCCAGACUCCUACGGGAGGCAGCAGUGGGGAAUAUUGCGCAAUGGGGGCAACCCUGACCGAGCAACGCCGCGUGAAUGAAGAAGGCCUUCGGGUUGUAAAGUACUUUCAGUAGGGAGGCGUUACCCACAGAAGAAGCACCGGCUAACUCCGUGCCAGCAGCCGCGGUAAUAC